AAUGAAUUGCCUGACAAAAGGGUUACCUUGAUAGGGUAAAUAAUGCAAUUAAUAUUGCAUUCAUUAUAUUUAAUAGAAUUAAACUA
rnacentral:tRNA from 1 species